AGAACGCCAUCCAAACCUCUUCAGCAUAGGCAUGACCGCCGACUGCACAGCACACCAGUGGACGUGAUGUGCCAGCGUUCAAGGCUCAACAUUUCCGGAAGGCCAGUGCCUUUCAAGCUGUGUGGUCAUGAUGAAACAAGCAAGGAGCUAUUUCCGCUCAAUGAAGGGGAGAGUUCCAGUAGCGAGGACUCGCUGUGAAAGGCGCUGCCCGAUCCAGAUUUUGCCGACAUGUAUUUGUUUUGUUUUUAUGUUCUUUCAAAUUUCAAUUUCUGCUUGUUUCAUACCAAAUUAUUAAAUGUUUCCACUGCUUUGCCGCCUCAGAUUUAUGCUCUAUACAAGUUGUGUGCACGUCGCGGGUUGGUAUCUUUGAGCGCAGAUUAAUCUUUCAUUCAACCUCGCAUGCCAGUAAUUGAAACAAAGCUGUUGACGGAACAUUUGCGCUUAAAUUUUUAUGCAAGUUUGCAAUAAGUUUAAUAUUUAUUGCACCACAAUCACUGAGUCAUUAUGGACAACAAUUAUUGAGAGUGAUGUACAAUAAGCGUUUUUGGCUAGUUUUUACUGCGGUUUCUCUGCCUUUUUUACAGUUUGCUUUUAUUUUUCAGACACAGCAUCGCGAAUGUUAAGUGUAUAACUGUCAGUUUUAUUGUUAUUUUAUUAAGAAUAUAUCAUGAGAGAAAUCAGACUGCAAAAGGAGUUUUUUUUAGAUUUCAUUGUAAAUGUAGGAAAUGACAUUUUUUUAUGAUAUCUUACAAUAAAAAUGGCUGUACUUUGCCAAAACUACCCUAUGCAGUGAAUAUGCCUGUUAUGUGGAAACCAGAUGCACAAUAAAAAGAUUUUAAAUACGGA